GAGCGAACGCUGGCGGCAGGCCUAACACAUGCAAGUCGAACGAACUCUUCGGAGUUAGUGGCGGACGGGUGAGUAACACGUGGGAACGUGCCUUUUGGUUCGGAAUAACUCAGGGAAACUUGUGCUAAUACCGAAUGUGCCCUUCGGGGGAAAGAUUUAUCGCCCUUAGAGCGGCCCUCGUCUGAUUAGCUAGUUGGUGAGGUAACGGCUCACCAAGGCGACGAUCAGUAGCUGGUCUGAGAGGAUGACCAGCCACACUGGGACUGAGACACGGCCCAGACUCCUACGGGAGGCAGCAGGGGGGAAUCUUGCGCAAUGGGCGAAAGCCUGACGCAGCCAUGCCGCGUGAAUGAUGAAGGUCUUAGGAUUGUAAAAUUCUUUCACCGGGGACGAUAAUGACGGUACCCGGAGAAGAAGCCCCGGCUAACUUCGUG
rnacentral:rRNA from 1 species